AAGACGUGGAGAUAUAAGCAUGCUCCAAUUCAAUUGGAUUCACUUAUCUGAUGAAGACGGUGCUGGAAGAUACAAAGAUGAGCAAGACACAGUUCCUGCUUUCACAGAUAUAUGGUUUAUGCAUUUAUUUAUAUUCACUCAAGCCCAACUAUACCGCUUCCUACAAAGGUUUUGAGGCAACAUCCAAUAGAACAAUAAAGAAAAUAUUGAAAUAAAAAGUCAGCGACAAGGAAAAUAGAAACAAAACAUGCUGAAGAACAACACUACAACUAUUUAAGUUGAAGGCCCAGAACACUGGUUUUAGUUCUCAAUGUCAACAGGCAUGAGGUAGAAGUUUAAAAAAACAAGGUGUUUCCACUUCCAGCACAAGGAAAAGCUUAGCACUUGAGAACUCAUUCCUGGGACUGCCAGCCCCUGACUUUCAGCAGAUCACCUGUUUCUUGGUAUCGAGGCACCUGUCUGCACGGCAAU